UACGAAGGGGGCUAGCGUUGCUCGGAAUCACUGGGCGUAAAGCGCACGUAGGCGGACUGUUAAGUCAGGGGUGAAAUCCUGGAGCUCAACUCCAGAACUGCCUUUGAUACUGGCGAGCUCGAGUCCGGGAGAGGUGAGUGGAACUGCGAGUGUAGAGGUGAAAUUCGUAGAUAUUCGCAAGAACACCAGUGGCGAAGGCGGCUCACUGGACCGCUUCUGACGCUGAGGCGCGAAAGCCAGGGGAGCAAACGGG
rnacentral:rRNA from 1 species